GGCAGACGGGUGAGUAACAUGUGGGUAUCUACCCUUUGGCCUGGAAUAACACGAGGAAACUUGUGCUAAUACCGGAUAAGUCUUUACAGAGAAAGCUUUAUGCACCAUUGGAUGAGCCCGCACUUGAUUAGUUUGUUGGUAGGGUAAUGGCCUACCAAGACUGUGAUCAAUAGCUGAUUUGAGAGGAUGAUCAGCCACAUUGGGACUGAGACACGGCCCAAACUCCUACGGGAGGCAGCAGUGGGGAAUCUUGCACAAUGGAGGAAACUCUGAUGCAGCGAUGCCGCGUGAGUGAAGAAGGCCCUUGGGUUGUAAAGCUCUUUCGUCGGGGAAGAAAAUGACUGUACCCGAAUAAGAAGGUCCGGCUAACUUCGUGCCAGCAGCCGCGGUAAUACGAAGGGACCUAGCGUAGUUCGGAAUUACUGGGCUUAAAGAGUUCGUAGGUGGUUGAAAAAGUUGGUGGUGAAAUCCCAGAGCUUAACUCUGGAACUGCCAUCAAAACUUUUCAGCUAGAGUUUGAUAGAGGAAAGCAGAAUUUCUAGUGUAGAGGUGAAAUUCGUAGAUAUUAGAAAGAAUACCAAUUGCGAAGGCAGCUUUCUGGAUCAUUACUGACACUGAGGAACGAAAGCAUGGGUAGCGAAGAGGAUUAGAUACCCUCGUAGUCCAUGCCGUAAACGAUGUGUGUUAGACGUUGGAAAUUUAUUUUCAGUGUCGCAGCGAAAGCGAUAAACACAC
rnacentral:rRNA from 1 species